AGAUUGAACGCUAGCGGCAUGCCUAACACAUGCAAGUCGAACGGUAACAGGCCCUUCGGGGUGCUGACGAGUGGCGGACGGCUGAGUAAGGCACAGGAAUCUACCCCAAAGUGAGGGAUAAGCACCAGAAAUGGUGUCUAAUACCGCAUGUGCUCUUAGGAGUAAAGCUCCGGCGCUUUGGGAAGAGCCUGUGUAUGAUUAGCUUGUUGGUAAGGUAAAAGCUUACCAAGGCGACGAUCGGUAGCUGGUCUGAGAGGACGACCAGCCACACUGGGACUGAGACACGGCCCAGACUCCUACGGGAGGCAGC
rnacentral:rRNA from 1 species